AGGUAGAAUGGCCNAGUGUUAGGCGGCCGGCUGUANUCCUGCUUACAUAGGUUUAAUUCCUGUUUCUUCC
rnacentral:tRNA from 1 species